rnacentral:lncRNA from 1 species
CCUUCUCUUCCCUGCCGGGCGGAGGUUCUCCCGCCGCUGUUAGAAAGGCCGCCCUGAUCCCACGCGGGCUGCCCGCCUGCCGCUACGUCACUCUCUGGGCUCCCUGUUCGCUCCACAGGGAGCCUCAGUCCACAGCCUGGCCUGGCUUUUCUUACCUGCUCAUACCUGUUUUCACUUUCGAAAAUGUUGUUUAUGGAAAAUGUGUAUGCGUGCGUAGUGAACUAAAUCAAGGUAUGCCAAACAGAUAAGCACAGCACCCUUUGGACAAGCCUUGUCCUGAGCCCAGGGUCGUGUGCUCUUGGAGACAGACAUGCUCGUCUGUGCGGUUUUGUUAGGCAGGAAAUCCUACCCUGUUUUUAUUUUCUGGGAUCGUUAACAAAAUUGAACAUCUUCUCCUGUUGCCCGUUUGUAGGCCUUUUUCUUGUUCAACUUCUUUGUUUUCCUUUUAACUGCAAAAAGCCCCAACAUGCUAUUUUGGGAAAACCAAGUAAUUCUGCAGUCCUGAGUAUUCUAAGAUCCAGACGUGCCUUUCCAUCUGGGAGGAGAAGGUGCCUGUUCGGCAUGUAAACACAGAAUUCAAAGCCUCCAUAGAGAGACUGGGGUUUGCAAGAUUCGAAGCCAAUUGUGAUCGUCACGGACUGACUCAUCACACCUCUGCACACAAGCUGGAAUUUUGUCCCAGGCCACAGGCUCGGGAAAGGCUGUUGUGACUGCCGGUGGAGCUCUCUGCCGGGGUUUCCACACCUCCCCCCAGACAAGGCUUGUGUCUCUAAAUCCCUUUUGGGGUGUUGCCACUGAGCCAACUCCAUCCGUCGCUGAGCCUGACUUUCACCCACAAGCGCGUGAAUCAACUGAUACAAAUCUGAAAAGCCCGGCGAGUGGGUCUGAGUGACCCCCUUAAAUUCAUCAGUGCAUCUGUGGGGUCUUCCGGUGCUUUUGGAAAAUCCUGAACCACAGCUCGUGCUUCUGGCCACAGCGUGUGGCUCGGCUCGGUCCAGUUCAAGAGGCUGAGAGACUUCAGGGCUGAUGCUUGAAAGAAGCUUUUCAGGGAGAUAAAGUGGAGUUGAACACGUGAGGGUUGAUAUGCACAGAACAGAGGCUUUUGCUUUCUUUGUCCUUUUCAUGGCGGCAGGAGGGGUACCACUCACUGUAAGAGCAUGUAUCUGCCCCUGCAGAGUUCCAGUCCGUUAUGUAAAGUAGUCUUUCUGCCAACCACCCCAGCCUGAAGCUCGACACAGUAACUAGACUAGCUAUUGUACAACUAUCUUUAAGACAACUUUGUCAGCUGAUUUACUUUAAAAAGGUUAUUUUUAAAUCCCGUUCUUUUGACUAAAGAUUGUAUGUUUCCAAGAAUCCUUUGAAAAACUUCCGUUGUGAUGCUUACAGUUUUUUCUAUAAUAGAUCGUUUUGGUGAUUAAGUUUGUCCCCUCUGACAGAAAACACAUCAGUGAAUUCCUAAGGUUCAGGGGGGAGUUUUUUGCAUAGGGUUUUAGGUACGGGGGCUACAGAGGAAAUCAGUCCUGCAUAUUCACUGGAAGGACUGAUGCUGAAGCUGAAACUCCAAUACUUUGGCCACCUGAUGGGAAGAACUGACUCACUGGAAAAGACCCUGAUGCUGGGAAAGAUUGAGGGCAGGAGGAGAAGGGGAUGACAGAGGAUGAGAGGGUUGGAUGGCAUCACCAACUCGAUGGGCAUGAGUUUGAGUAAGCUCUGGGAGUUGGUGAUGGACAGGGAGGCCUGACGUGGUGUGGUCCAUGGAGUCACAAAGAGUCAGACACAACUGAGCGACUGAACUGAACUGAACUACAGAGCUGUUCUACACUGAGAUUAUGGUGAUGAUUGCGUUUGUCAAACUUCACGGAGACUUUUAGGGAAUGUAAAUUCUACUUCAAUAAACGUGACCUUAAAACUUUAAAGAAAACA